AUCACCUGGGGAUCUUCUUAAAAUGCAGAUUCUAAUUCAGCAGAUCUGGGGUGAAGCCUAAGAUUCUACAUUUCUGAUAGGCUCCCAUGUGAUGCUAA
rnacentral:pre_miRNA from 1 species